UUGAAGUUGUAGAUUAUGUUAUUGACUGACAGGUUACAUUGUAGGUUAUGUUGUUGCUCCUUAUUAAUGACGAAAAUUCAAUGAAAAUGACCGAAAUUGUUGAUAAAAUCGAAGCCGGUGGCGCUUCAACAUAAUUUUUUCUAUUUUUCUGUAUCCAACCUUUCUGGAGUGAGGUUAUGGUAUCAUCAAAAUCAAUUAAAAUAACAAAUUGGGCGAAAAUUAAGUUAUGUUGUUGCUCCUUAUUAAUGACGAAAAUUCAAUGAAAAUGACCGAAAUUGUUGGUAAAAUCGAAGCCGGUGGCGCUUCAACAUAAUCUUUUCUAUUUUUCUGUAUCGAACCUGUCUGGAGUGAGGUUAUGGUAUCAUCAAAAUCAAUUAAAAUAACAAAUUGGGCGAAAAUUAAGUUAUGUUGUUGCUCCUUAUUAAUGACGAAAAUUCAAUGAAAAUGACCGAAAUUGUUGGUAAAAUCGAAGCCGGUGGCGCUUCAACAUAAUCUUUUCUAUUUUUCUGUAUCCAACCUGUCUGGAGUGAGGUUAUGUAUCAUCAAAAUCAUUUAAAAUAACAAAUUGGGCGAAAAUUAAGAGAG
rnacentral:lncRNA from 1 species